rnacentral:rRNA from 1 species
AUUGAACGCUGGCGGCAGGCUUAACACAUGCAAGUCGAACGCCCCGCAAGGGGAGUGACAGACGGGUGAGUAACGCGUGGGAAUCUACCCAGCUCUACGGAAUAACUCAGGGAAACUUGUGCUAAUACCGUAUACGCCCUUCGGGGGAAAGAUUUAUCGGAGUUGGAUGAGCCCGCGUUGGAUUAGCUAGUUGGUGGGGUAAAGGCCUACCAAGGCGACGAUCCAUAGCUGGUCUGAGAGGAUGAUCAGCCACACUGGGACUGAGACACGGCCCAGACUCCUAUGGGAGGCAGCAGUGGGGAAUAUUGGACAAUGGGCGCAAGCCUGAUCCAGCCAUGCCGCGUGAGUGAUGAAGGCCCUAGGGUUGUAAAGCUCUUUCACCGGUGAAGAUAAUGACGGUAACCGGAGAAGAAGCCCCGGCUAACUUCGUGCCAGCCGCCGCAGUAAAAC